rnacentral:tRNA from 1 species
GGGUCAGUAGUCCGGUAAUGGAGCCGGGGCAGUCUGUAAAACUGAUGGCAUCGCGUCCCCUGCAGGUUCGAGUUCUACCUGACGCACCA